rnacentral:rRNA from 1 species
UACGUAGGGGUGCAAGCGUUGUCCGGAAUUAUUGGGCGUAAAGAGCUCGUAGGCGGUCUGUCGCGUCGAUCGUGAAAACUUGGGGCUUAACCCUGAGCUUGCGGUCGAUACGGGCAUGACUGGAGUUCGGCAGGGGAGACUGGAAUUCCUGGUGUAGCGGUGAAAUGCGCAGAUAUCAGGAGGAACACCAAUGGCGAAGGCAGCUCGCUGGGACGUGACUGACGCUGAGACGCGAAAGCGUGGGGAGCGAACAGG